CUCACAAAGCAGUGGGGUACUGCUCCUGACGGACUGGGCGAGAAUGAGUCCUGUUGAAAUUAGAGGAAGCUAUGUGGAAACUGGGCAUGAUUGGCUAGGAGGUCGGGGAUUUCCUUACAAGAAUGAAGACAUCUCCUUCGAGGUCACUUCCUAGAUCUUCCUUUUUGAACAGAAUAGCCCAGAAGCAGUGAAGGCUUCAGGAUUGACCAUCCAGACGGAUGACAUCCAUCAUGUCAGGACAUGAUGAUCAAACCAUGUAAUGGGGACAUCAUCUUUCUCCAGAAAAGGGCUCUGUUGCUAAAAAUUACUUUGGAGAAUCUUUAACCUCGGCCAGCUUCUCACAUUACCCAAGACAAAGAUAAAACCAACAAGACUGAUUAUUCACCAUUCUACAGCAAGGCAGUGCAUCCAG